rnacentral:rRNA from 1 species
UACGAAGGGGGCUAGCGUUGCUCGGAAUCACUGGGCGUAAAGGGUGCGUAGGCGGGUCUUUAAGUCAGGGGUGAAAUCCUGGAGCUCAACUCCAGAACUGCCUUUGAUACUGAAGAUCUUGAGUUCGGGAGAGGUGAGUGGAACUGCGAGUGUAGAGGUGAAAUUCGUAGAUAUUCGCAAGAACACCAGUGGCGAAGGCGGCUCACUGGCCCGAUACUGACGCUGAGGUAG